UGGGGAAUAUUGCACAAUGGGCGCAAGCCUGAUGCAGCCAUGCCGCGUGUGUGAAGAAGGCCUUCGGGUUGUAAAGCACUUUCAGCGAGGAGGAAGGUGGUGAACUUAAUACGUUCAUCAAUUGACGUUACUCGCAGAAGAAGCACCGGCUAACUCCGUGCCAGCAGCCGCGGUAAUACGGAGGGUGCAAGCGUUAAUCGGAAUUACUGGGCGUAAAGCGCACGCAGGCGGUUUGUUAAGUCAGAUGUGAAAUCCCCGGGCUCAACCUGGGAACUGCAUUUGAAACUGGCAAGCUAGAGUCUCGUAGAGGGGGGUAGAAUUCCAGGUGUAGCGGUGAAAUGCGUAGAGAUCUGGAGGAAUACCGGUGGCGAAGGCGGCCCCCCUGGACGAAGACUGACGCUCAGGUGCGAAAGCGUGGGGAGCAAAACAGGAUUAGAUACCCUGGUAGGUCCACGCUGUAAAACGAUGUCGAUUUGGAGGUUGUGCCCUUGAGGCGUGGCUUCCGGAGCUAACGCGUUAAAUCGACCGCC
rnacentral:rRNA from 1 species